GAGAAUAUUAAGCAUACAGAUAAUUUCUUUCCUGAAUCUCUUUUUUAUCAAUUAAUAGGACACCCAGAAAAUGUGUUUAUAACCAAUAAGGUUUUUGAACAAGCGAGUGAAAGUUAGCUCAGCGUGCUUCUACCCUGCAUCGCCCAUGUGACAGGGAUAGGGGCUAACAAGUAGUGGGAUACGCUGUCUCAUCUCCGCCUGCGGUGAGCUGAAGAAGACAAUCAGGCUGACCCGAAGGGGACCCGGUUACGGGGGGCUUCUAGGGUGACAUCAAAACUGUAACUACACUCGUAGAAGCUUAUGUGCCGUUAUCUUCGGACAGGGGUUCGACUCCCCU
rnacentral:misc_RNA from 1 species